AGAGUUUGAUCAUGGCUCAGGAUGAACGCUGGCGGCGUGCCUAAUACAUGCAAGUCGAACGGGGAGUAGCAAUACUUCUAGUGGCGAACGGGUGAGUAACGCGUGGGUGACCUGCCCCGAAGAGAGGGAUAACAGUUCGAAAGGACUGCUAAUACCGCAUGAGGUUCCUGGGUUUAGAAACCGGGAACGAAAGCAGCAAUGCGCUUCGGGAGGGGCCUGCGUCCCAUCAGCUAGUUGGUAAGGUAACGGCCUACCAAGGCGACGACGGGUAGGGGGCCUGAGAGGGUGACCCCCCACACUGGCACUGAAACACGGGCCAGACACCUACGGGUGGCAGCAGUAGGGAAUAUUGCACAAUGGGCGCAAGCCUGAUGCAGCAACGCCGCGUGCGCGAUGAAGGCCUUCGGGUUGUAAAGCGCUUUUCUGGGAGACGAGGAAGGACGGUAUCCCAGGAAGAAGGCUCGGCUAACUACGUGCCAGCAGCCGCGGUAAUAC
rnacentral:rRNA from 1 species